rnacentral:rRNA from 1 species
CGUAGGGUGCAAGCGUUAAUCGGAAUUACUGGGCGUAAAGCGUGCGCAGGUCGGCUUUGCAAGACAGAUGUGAAAUCCCCGGGCUUAACCUGGGAACUGCAUUUGUGACUGCAUGGCUAGAGUGCGGCAGAGGGGGAUGGAAUUCCGCGUGUAGCAGUGAAAUGCGUAGAUAUGCGGAGGAACACCGAUGGCGAAGGCAAUCCCCUGGGCCUGCACUGACGCUCAUGCACGAAAGCGUGGGGAGCAAACAGGAUUAGAUACCCUGGUAGUCCACGCCCUAAACGAUGUCAACUGGUUGUUGGACGGCUUGCUGUUCAGUAACGAAGCUAACGCGUGAAGUUGACCGCCUGGGGAGUACGGCCGCAAGGUUG